AGCAUCAGCCAAGGCUCGUAGUGAGAAAAAGAGGAGGAGAUUGGGGGCGGGGGUGGAGAGGGAAGACGGAGAGGAGGGGAGGAGGGGGAGGCUGGAAGGUGCUGGCGGAGGAGAAGAACGCUCGGGUGGGUUGGGAGCCAGAUGGAGACGCAACUGUUCGCGGCCGCGAGUCUUGAGACGCCGCGCAGCCGAGCAGGUAUCCGAGUGACUGCGGGCCGGCUCUGGAAGGGAAGCCCGAGCCCUGGAACUUUGCUCUUCUCCCCGGGAGCGCUGGAUUUACUGUGGACAUUUUGGAGAUGGGAAGCAGAUCCAGGGAUAGGAGGAGAGGGGAAGGAGGGGAAGGAGGGAAAGGAAAAAGGAAGUAAAAGGAUUAAUAUACUCUACGUAUGUGUCCUAACUCCCAGCAACGAUGGCAUUUGUUAUGUACCACAAACAUGUACUAAGAAAACAUAAAUAAAUAGGAAAAUAAAAAAGUGUUACAGUUAAAAACAUAUUGUCAUUAGCCCCCUCACUUCAAACACACUCAUCCCGUCAUGCUUGACACGUUCUGAAGCGGUUCUGGAGUCCUCUUUUGUGAGCGUCUUUAGUUGCAUCAUUGCGGCUGCUGGAUAUCCCCAAUCAAUUCAAAAUAUUCGCCCUUUGUGCUCAUUUUGACUUGGAAAGGGAAGUCACACAAUGUCAGAUCUGGUGAAUAAGAGGAAGAAGACUCACCACGUGUUUGUAGGAGCUUGGCUUUCUGUUGACUGGUAGUUGGUAUAAUUUUUGAUUAUACAUCCUAAAGACACAAGUGAGGAC
rnacentral:lncRNA from 1 species